rnacentral:lncRNA from 1 species
UGCUAAAUAAUUUGCUACAGCACAUACAAGGACGCUGAAGCAGAAUCGCGAGUUUGGCUAGUUGUUGGAUGUUCAUCGUAAAAUAAUUGACAGCGCAACGGGUUAAACACGGACAGAAAAAAGAAAAGGACACAGCGCUGAACUC